UUCAGACAACUCCUAUAGGGCGAAUGAAUUAGCGGCGCGAAUCGCCCUUAAAGUUUGAUCCUGUCUCAGGAUGAACGCUAACUACAGGCUUAACACAUGCUAGUCGAGGGGAAACGAUAUUGGAAGCCUGCUUCCGAUAGGCGUCGACCGGCGCACGGGUGAGUAACGCGUAUCCAACCUGCCCAUCACUUGGGAAUAACCAUUGCCGAAGAGUACAGACUAUAUGUCCCAACUGUACUAUUUAUCACAAGUGCAUUCUGGAAAUGUAAUUAAAUGAUUAUAUCGAGUGCAUGGCAUGCGGGCAUGCUGUCAUGAUUAGGCUUGUCUGGCGGAGGUAAGCGCCCCACCAAGGCGACGAUCAGUAGGGGUUCUUGAGAGGAAGGUCCCCCACAUUGGAACUGAUACACGGUUCAAACUCCUACAGAGAGGCAGCAGCUGAUGAAUAUUGGUCAAUGGGCGAGAGCCUGAACCACCCAAGUAACGUGCAGGAAGACGGCCCUAUGGGUUGUAAACUGCUUUGAUACGGGAAUAAAGUGAGCCACGUGUGGUUUUUUGCAUGUACCCUAUGAAUAAGGACCGGCUACUUCCGUGCCAUCAGCCGCGGUAAUACGGAAGGUCCGGGCGUUAUCCGGAUUUAUCGGGUUUAAAGGGAGCGUACGCCGGAGAUUAAGCGUGUUGUGAGAUGUACACGCUCAACGUCUGCACUGCGGCGCGAACUGGUUUCCUUGAGUACGCAUAAAGUGGGCGGAAUACGCGGUGUAGCGGUGAUAUGCUUAGAUAUCACGAAGAACUCCGAUUGCGAAGGCAGCUCACUGGUGCGCAACUGACGCUGAAGCUCGUAAGCGCGGGUAUCGUACAGGAUUAGAUACUCUGGUAGUCCGCGCGGUAAACGAUGGAUGCCCGCUGUUGGGCCAACUGGUUCAGCGGCCAAGCGAAAGCAUUAAGCAUCCCACCUGGGGAGUACGCCGGCAACGGUGCAACUCAAAGGAAUUGACGGGGGCCCGCACAAGCGGAGGUACAUGUGGUUUAAUUCGAUGAUACGCGAGGAACCUUACCCGGGCUCUGAAUUGCAGAGGAAGGAUUUGGAGACAAUGACGCCCUUCGGGGCCUCUGUGAAGGUGCUGCAUGGUUGUCGUCAGCUCGUGCCGUGAGGUGUCGGUUUAAGUGCCAUAACGAGCGCUACCCCUCUCCAUAGUUGCCAUCAGGUGAAAGUGGGCACUCUGUGGACACUGCCACAGUAAGGUGCGAGGAAGGUGGGGAUGACGUCAAAUCAGCACGGCCCUUACGUCCGGGGCUACACACGUGUUACAAUGGCAGGUACAGAGAGCCGGUCGUAUGCGAAUACGAUCCAAUCCUUAAAGCCUGUCUCAGUUCGGACUGGGGUCUGCAACCCGACCCCACGAAGCUGGAUUCGUUAGUAAUCGCGCAUCAGCCAUGGCGCGGUGAUACGUUCCCGGCCCUUGUACAGACUCGCCCGUUC
rnacentral:rRNA from 1 species